rnacentral:rRNA from 1 species
UAUUGCACAAUGGGCGAAAGCCUGAUGCAGCAACGCCGCGUGAAGGAAGACGGUUUUCGGAUUGUAAACUUCUAUCAAUAGGGAAGAAAGAAAUGACGGUACCUAAAUAAGAAGCCCCGGCUAACUACGUGCCAGCAGCCGCGGUAAUACGUAGGGGGCAAGCGUUAUCCGGAAUUACUGGGUGUAAAGGGAGAGUAGGCGGCAAGGUAAGCGAUAUGUGAAAGCCUUAAGCUUAACUUAAGGAUUGCAUAACGAACUAUCUAGCUAGAGUACAGGAGAGGAAAGCGGAAUUCCUAGUGUAGCGGUGAAAUGCGUAGAUAUUAGGAAGAACACCAGUGGCGAAGGCGGCUUUCUGGACUGAAACUGACGCUGAGGCUCGAAAGCGUGGGGAGCGAACAGGA